rnacentral:rRNA from 1 species
UCGCUACUACCGAUUGGACGUUUUGGUGAGGUUCAGGGAUUGUUGCAGGACGGGGUUCGCCCCUGGCCAGCACGCAAGAACUGAGACAAACCUGAGCGUCUAGAGGAAGUAA